GACGAACCACACGAACGUUAUUCGGAAUUACUGGGCUUAAAGGGUGCGUAGGCGGCGCAGAAAGUUGGGUGUGAAAUCCCUCGGCUCAACCGAGGAACUGCGCCCAAAACUACUGUGCUUGAGGAAGAUAGAGGUAAGCGGAACUUACGGUGGAGCGGUGAAAUGCGUUGAUAUCGUAAGGAACACCUGUGGCGAAAGCGGCUUACUGGGUCUUUUCUGGACGCUGAUGCACGAAAGCCAGGGGAGCAAACGGGAGUUAGAAU
rnacentral:rRNA from 1 species